rnacentral:rRNA from 1 species
GGGGGGCAUACAUGGCAGUCGAACGGAGUCAUUAAUGAGAAUCCUUCGAGAUUCAGACUUCUUGACGUACUGGCGAACGGGGGAGUAACGCGGGAGCAAUCGGCCUUUGGAUGGGGAAUAACAUCCGGAAACGACUGCUAUUACCGCAUAAUGCAGCGGGACCGCGUGAUUUUGCUGCCAAAUAUUUAGCGUCCAGAGAUGACCUCGCGUCAGAUUACCCAUGUGGCGGGGUAACGGCCCACCAAAGCGACUAUCAAUACCCGGACUGAGAGGUUGAACGGCCACUUUGAGACUGACACACGGCCCACACUCCUACGGGAGGCAACAGUGGGAAAUAUUGCGCAGUGGGGAAAACCCUGACGCAGCAACGCCGCGUGAGUGAAAAAGGCCUUCCGCUUGUAGAGCUCUUUACUCAGGGAAGAAUAAUGACAGUACCUGAAGAAUACCCUCCGGCUAACUACGUGCCAGCAGCCGCGGUAAUACGUAGGGAGCAAGCGUUAUCCGGAUUUGCUGGGUGUAGAGGGCGUGAAGGCGGGCCUGCAAGUCAGAAGUGAAAUCUGGGGGCUUAACCCCCAUGACUGCUUUUGAAACUGUGGGUCUUGAGUGAUGGAGAGGCAGGAGUAAUUCCCGAUGUAGCGGUGAAAUGCAUAUAUAUUGGAAGGAACACCAGUGACGAAGGCGGCCUGCUGGACAUUAACUGACACUGACGCGCGAAAGCGUGGGGAGCAGAAAGGAUUACAUAGCCUGUCA